ensembl:snRNA U6 U6 spliceosomal RNA
GUGCUCGACUUAGCAGCACAUACACUAUAAUGGAAUGAUAGAGAAAAUUAACAUGGCCCCGUGCAGAGAUGACAUGCACAUUCAUGAAGCAGUCCAUAAUUGU